GUUGCACAGCAUUUUGCCGAAGCGAGUCCGGAGACGCAGGCUCUUGAUGGUGGCCUGUUUUGCGAACGAGGCUUUUCCUGGUAUCAGGAGGCUCGGUCACUAGUCAUUGCGCGGUUUGUAUGGUCAGUGGCUGCCCAGUUGAGUGGAAACGGACGCGGUCGGGUGGACACGCCCACAGACACCUCGAGGCCAGCGUGCACCUGAAGCACGCAGCACUGUGCAUGCGUGCACCUGGACAGGUUCGUUGGGCUCUGAACAAAAAUAUCACCUAGGUUGUCUCGCUGGUGCGAAUGCGGGAAUGAUGCGGGGCACCGAACCUCGCUAUAAGCUCUCCGCGCGAGGCUUGUAUCCGCACAGCUGAUGUGGCAAACAACGACGGAGGCGACGCCUACUCACUGUGUGCUGGUGUUCAUAUUGCGAACAAGCACGUGUGCCAUGAAAUGGAGUAGACCCAUGACCUUCCCAUGUGCUGGCCCAUUUUCCUACUCGUUGCGACCUGCGAACGAACUUUUUAGGUAGUUCAGAACAAGUUUAGCGUUUCUUCUAUGCUGAAUGUCAUGUGAGCGCAGCCGCCCGUUCACUGCACCACCGCCAUGAUCCACCGGGCGGACGCGGAUGUGCUUCAGCCUUGCAUGCCUGGUAGCAGCCCGUUCGCGGUCAUCGGCAGGAAACUCGCCCCGGAAUAUCCGUUGCAGACUGUGUAUGUUCUGCAAAUCGCGCGAGCGCGAAACCUACUUGUAUGCACGGAAUGAAGCAUUCCGCAGUCGAGCGUGACCCCGGCGCGAGGCCCUCAAAGUUUGGACAUAAACUCGCCGAUACGCACGGCGCGGCGCUCCUUCAUGCUCUUUCUCGCUGCGUAAGCGAGCACCACCGGCAUACGCCCAUCCUCCCCGGUCACCGGCACCGCCUUUCCUUCCAUAAUGCAACGCACAAAAGUCUCCAUUUCUAAAGCGUAGGCAUCGCGAUAGCGGUCCAUGAAAAAGUUCAGUGGCAGGUCGCGACGUACACUCGCACCAUCCUGCAACGUCGCAUUGUUCGGAAAGUUAUUCGCAGUGGACACAUUUCCCUUCGAUCCGUGAAUUUCAAUACGCUGGUCGUAACCAUAAGCGGCUUUUCGACAGCAUUCGAUCGUACCGAUGGCGCCGUUCGCGAACCGCAGGGUCACAAUCGCGGUGUCGAUAUCGCCCGCUUGCUCACCGAUCUGGGGAUCCACCAGGUUGGCUCCAGCAGCAGCAACGACUUCCACGAUUUCUGAGCCCAUCGUAAACCGGGCCAUGUCGAAAUCAUGCGUCAUCAUGUCAAAGAAUAGGCCCCCAGACUGCUUCAAGUAGGCAAGCGGAGGUGGCGCAGGGUCACGUGAGAUGAUGUGCAGUGAGUAGGGCUCGCCGAUUUCCCCGCUGGCGACAGCUUCCCUUACCCGGCGGAAGUUCGCAUCAAAACGCCGCUGAAACCCUAUUUGCAUCUGGACACCGGCGCGCUUCACUUCCGAAAGCGCGUUAUCGAUGCGCUCGAGGUCGUAGUCGAUCGGUUUCUCGCAAAAAAUCUGUUUGCCUGCCCGCGCUGCUGCCACGAUGAUUUCGUAGUGCGUGUCUGAGGGCGAACAAAUGAUAACAGCGUCCACCUCAGGUGACUGGACAACCUCCUGCCAGUCUUUGACUGCACGCGGGAUGCGAAACUCUUUCGCCGCCGCCUGGGCAGCC
rnacentral:misc_RNA from 1 species